rnacentral:rRNA from 1 species
GACGAACGCUGGCGGCGUGCUUAACACAUGCAAGUCGUACGGUAAGGCCCUUUCGGGGGUACACGAGUGGCGAACGGGUGAGUAACACGUGAGUAACCUGCCCACAACUUUGGGAUAACGCUAGGAAACUGGUGCUAAUACUGGAUAUGUGCUCCUGCUGCAUGGUGGGGGUUGGAAAGCUCCGGCGGUUGUGGAUGGACUCGCGGCCUAUCAGCUUGUUGGUGGGGUAGUGGCCUACCAAGGCGGCGACGGGUAGCCGGCCUGAGAGGGUGACCGGCCACAGUGGGACUGAGACACGGCCCAGACUCCGACGGGAGGGAGAGGUGGGGAAUAUUGCACAAGGGGCGCAAGCCUGAUGCAGCAACGCCGCGUGCGGGAUGACGGCCUUGGGGUUGUAAACCGCUUUCAGCAGGGACGAAGCUUUUUGUGACGGUACCUGCAGAAGAAGCACCGGCUAACUACGUG